GCUAGGAUAGCUCAAGCAGGAGAGCAGGAGACUCUUAAUCUUGGGGUUGUGGGUUUGAGUCCCACGUUGGGCA